AAAUUGGUACCUAAACCAAUCAUCAUAUCUUUGGCCAAGUAUCCUACAAAGAGACUCCCGAGAGCCAGAAGUAUUAAAGGAAUGGCCAUAGGAAUGGGCGCAUCAUGACAUCUUACGAUGUCUCGCCCGAAUGAAUUAGUUGGUACUAGAAAUGUUAGAAAAAGUAAACGAAAAGAGUAAUAAGAAGUGAAAAGGACAGAGACACUUCCCAACCAGAAAGCAAAGUUCCCACUGAUGGUAUACUUAGUGUAAGCGAGCUCUAAGAUCACAUCUUUGGAAUAAAAUCCAGUUAGAAAAGGAAAUCCAAUUAGAGAUAAGCUGCCUA
rnacentral:misc_RNA from 1 species